rnacentral:rRNA from 1 species
UACAGAGGUCCCAAGCGUUGUUCGGAUUCACUGGGCGUAAAGGGUGCGUAGGCGGUUUGACAAGUCUGAUGUGAAAUCCCGCAGCUUAACUGCGGAACUGCAUUGGAAACUGUUUGACUAGAGGAAUGGAGGGGAGACUGGAAUACUUGGUGUAGCAGUGAAAUGCGUAGAUAUCAAGUGGAACACCAGUGGCGAAGGCGGCUUUCUGGGACGGUACUGACGCUGAGACGCGAAAGCGUGGGGAGCGAACAGG